rnacentral:tRNA from 1 species
UACCCCGUGGUGUAAUUGGCAACACUCGAGUUUUUGAUACUCGCAUUCCAGGUUCAAGUCCUGGCGGGGUAA